rnacentral:rRNA from 1 species
CCUACGGGUGGCAGCAGUGGGGGAUAUUGCGCAAUGGGGGAAACCCUGAUGCAGCGACGCCGCGUGUGGGAAGACGGUCCUCUGGAUUGUAAACCACUGUCCCCAGGGGCGAAGAUGACGGUACCUGGGGAGGAAGCUCCGGCUAACUACGUGCCAGCAGCCGCGGUAAUACGUAGGGAGCGAGCGUUGUCCGGAAUUACUGGGUGAAAAGGGAGCGUAGGCGGGACUGCAAGUUGGGUGUCAAAUCUACCGGCUCAACCGGUAGCCGCACUCAAAACUGCAGUUCUUGAGUGAAGUAGAGGCAGGCGGAAUUCCUAGUGUAGCGGUGAAAUGCGUAGAUAUUAGGAGGAACACCAGUGGAGAAGGCGGCCUGCUGGGCUUUUACUGACGCUGAUGCUCGAAAGUGUGGGGAGCAAACAGGAUUAGAUACCCGAGUAGUC